rnacentral:rRNA from 1 species
UACGUAGGGCGCAAGCGUUGUCCGGAAUUACUGGGCGUAAAGAGCUCGUAGGUGGCUUGUCGCGUUGUUCGUGAAAACCGGGGGCUUAACCCUCGGCGUGCGGGCGAUACGGGCAGACUGGAGUACUGCAGGGGAGACUGGAAUUCCUGGUGUAGCGGUGGAAUGCGCAGAUAUCAGGAGGAACACCGGUGGCGAAGGCGGGUCUCUGGGCAGUAACUGACGCUGAGGAGCGAAAGCGUGGGGAGCGAACAGG